AUUCAUGGGGUUUUUGCCUCAGCCAGAUCAAAACGGAAGAUACAUUUUUAUAUAUCAAUCAGUGAUGCCACUUUCCAUUCUGCAACAAUAUUUAAAUCACAAAGCGAAACAAAUCCUUUCAGAGGCUAUCUAUUCCUGCGAAAGGGUCAGCCGGAUUGUGGACGACGAAUAUCGACAGGCCGGGCACGGACGGUUCGUCCUCCAGAUUGGAAAACUGAUCUUAAAUACUCUAAAAAAAAUUGAGAUUUGAGAUCCAAAAUCUAUUUAGGAAUCUACGGAUAGCAUCAGUCGACGUGUAUCUUAUAAAGAAUGCAUUGAAUGAAUAUCAGAAAAAUUUUCGAAUAAAUCUACACUAAACCUUUUAAAUGAAAUGAAACUUUAUAAAAUAAAACUGUAUCAAAU
rnacentral:lncRNA from 1 species